rnacentral:rRNA from 1 species
UGCCGCGUGCAGGAAGAAUGCCCUAUGGGUAGUAAACUGCUUUUAUACGGGAAGAAAAAGAGCUACGUGUAGCUUACUGACGGUACCGUAAGAAUAAGGACCGGCUAACUCCGUGCCAGCAGCCGCGGUAAUACGGAGGGUCCGAGCGUUAUCCGGAAUUAUUGGGUUUAAAGGGUCCGUAGGCGGGCGAUUAAGUCAGUGGUGAAAGUCUGCAGCUCAACUGUAGAAUUGCCUUUGAUACUGGUCGUCUUGAGUUAUAGUGAAGUUGCCGGAAUAUGUAGUGUAGCGGUGAAAUGCAUAGAUAUUACAUAGAACACCGAUUGCGAAGGCAGGUGACUAACUAUAUACUGACGCUGAUGGACGAAAGCGUGGGGAGCGAACAGGAUUAGAUACCCUGGUAGUCCACGCCGUAAACGAUGGAUACUAGCUGUCCGGGACCUUGAGUCCUGGGCGGCCAAGCGAAAGUGAUAAGUAUCCCACCUGGGGAGUACGUUCGCAAGAAUGAAACUCAAAGGAAUUGACGGGGGCCCGCACAAGCGGUGGAGCAUGUGGUUUAAUUCGAUGAUACGCGAGGAACCUUACCAGGGCUUAAAUGCAUAUUGACAGGGGUAGAGAUACCUUUUCCUUCGGGCAAUUUGCAAGGUGCUGCAUGGUUGUCGUCAGCUCGUGCCGUGAGGUGUCAGGUUAAGUCCUAUAACGAGCGCAACCCCUACCGUUAGUUGCCAGCAUGUCAUGAUGGGGACUCUAACGGGACUGCCGGUGCAAACCGUGAGGAAGGUGGGGAUGACGUCAAAUCAUCACGGCCCUUACGUCCUGGGCCACACACGUGCUACAAUGGCAGGUACAGAGAGCAGCCACGUCGCAAGGCGGAGCGAAUCUAUAAAACCUGUCACAGUUCGGAUCGGGGUCUGCAACUCGACCCCGUGAAGCUGGAAUCGCUAGUAAUCGGAUAUCAGCCAUGAUCCGGUGAAUACGUUCCCGGGCCUUGUACACACCGCCCGUCAAGCCAUGGAAGCCGGGAGUGCCUGAAGUCCGUCACCGU